CAUUAUAAUUAAGAGUCUUCUAGACAUAUAAAUGUCACAGCAAAAACGAGUAAGAAAAAUAAUUAGUCAGGUCAUCAGGUCGACAUUACGAGUGCCUUUUUAC